rnacentral:rRNA from 1 species
AGGGACCUCGAGUGCCUGUAUAUGCAGGCUGUCCAGGUGUCUAAAACACACCUGAAGAAAGGGCCGGGCAAGACCGGUGCCAGCCGCCGCGGU